rnacentral:sRNA from 1 species
CAGACUGGUUGCAUGCAAGACAUGCACGGGCUGAUCCCCUUGAAUAGUACGUACUUGAAGAAUAUAAAAGAAACCAAGAAAUGAAUAAGAGAGAGGGGUAGAAAACAAACUAAACUGCUAUACUAACCUUAAUAAUCCUGCCUGGCAUCCAUGAAUUAUGAGAGUGAGAAAAAUAAUACAAGAAAACCCAACGCACAUGAGGAAAGGUGAAUGUGAUAGUAAUGGAAAGGACACGAAUACACACAAAAAAAGGAAACUUAAUUAGCUAGCAGGGAGCCUCGAAAUAAUUUGAGCAAAGGAAGAACAGAAGAGAAACAAUUGGCGCACCUGAAAGGGCAAUGAAGGAUCGUGAUUUAAUAAGAAAAAGUCAAAAAUAAAUGAAAGGAGAAGGCAUAGAAAACAACCCACGAAAUAGUCGUCGGAAUAAACAUAAUGAAUACAAAAUCGGAGACAUGGAAAAAUGGACAAAAAGAACAUUCAACAGGCUUCCACCAAUUCCAAUAAUUGUACGCCUAACAUCGCUGCACAUCUACCAAAUCGGAUUUCCUUCCACGUAAUUCCCCUCCACACAUCCCAUCGACCUACCACGCAUGUAUACUGUUGUGGUCAUAGCAGAUGUACAGCCAUAUUCUCAAGACGAAGACUCACCCGCUGUCGUCACCACCUUCUUCUUCGGUUGGGGCGGUCUUCUCAGGCUUUUGACUCGGCUGAUGAAGCCACUGCUACCACUAGCUGUCUGUGCGGGAGCCUUUGCGUCCUCGCCGCCGCCGAUACUAGACUUUCGCUCUUCUGUAACUCUCUUUUCACCUAGAAUAUCCUUUGGGCUACUAAUUGAUCGUUGUCUGGUCUGGGGAAGGAGGCUAUCAGUCAUGUCAUCUGAAAGUUGGAUCUUGGCACCUUUUUUAUCGUAUGCAUCAUCAUAAUCCUGUUGUUGGAAGAAUGGGUUCCUAUCGUUCUGUCGCUUGGAGCUGGAAGUUCGAGGAGGGCUUGCCUGAGUGUGUUGAUUGUUGGAAUCAGCAGUAGAAUCUGGUGAAGUAACCCGUGGGACUCUAUCUCUAUUGUUAAUUCCGCGGAUCUUUUGUGCGAGACUCUUCUUGCGCUGUAAUCCUCCAUUUUGUAAGUUUUGAGCUUCAUUCUCAUUUUCACGCCGCUGGAUGGCAGCGCGACUCGCGGGAGCGCCUUCUAGAAAUGUACUAGUUCCCAAACCCAUACUUUCAGCCCCAUGAAUCGGUUCCAGUUUUGCUGUUGGGUCGAACGCUGUGCUUUGGCCUAUCUUGCUGCUAGUCAAACUACCAGUGCUUGCAUAAUCCGCAUACCCCUCAGCCCCUCGCCCAUGGAAGAGAUUGAGAUCGAUAUUGCUAUUAUUAGGGCCAGCCCCGCCCAAAGCCAUGUUUCUCGAAUCCUUCGCGAAAGCUUGCAUUGGGGCCGCACGCGAUCCUUUACGAUUGCGGUGGGGGUUGCAUGCAUCGAACGGUCCAUCAUGGUGGAAGAGGCCUGUCCCAUAUAUGCUAGUAACAUCCAACUUAUCAAUAACGUCGAGCCUAUGGCCGUUUGUUCGCCUGCUGCGAGACUUGCUGUCCUUGUGUCUAGCAUCACGUUCUCGAUGUCUCCUUUCUCGCCUUCGUUUUUCCUCCUCAGGGUCGAGUGAUUUUGACGGUCUGUCCAUUAUGGAAGAGUCUGAGUUCCGGCGGGGUCGACGUUGACUGCGGGAUUUUGAAGACUCUUUGGGAUCUGCGAAGACGUUUCCAGUUGGACCCCGCCUAUUUCCCUUCCUGCGUGACUGUGAUUCUUCUCCGGAUGGUUUCCGAGCUGGGCGGCGGGAGGAGGCUUUAUCAUCAGAGAGAGUGUGUCCAGAGGGGGGAACAUUUUCCGGUCGUGGGGGUGGUCGUCUUCCGUUUGGAUUCGACGGCUUAUCGGCUGGCUUGUCAAGAGAGAGGUCUUCAAAUAAUUCUGCAACGUGUCCGGUCGACGGAGGAUCCGCUGAUGGAAGCUUUUCGGGUGACAUAUUCCUAGUUGAAGCAAGGAGUGAAGCCUGAGAUUCUGAGUCGUCGAGGAAUGGGUUUCUUGACACUGGGCGCUGUUGUCUCAGGGGAGGGCCUGUUGUGGAAGCGAACGAUGCCGAAGAGGCACGAUUUCUAAAGGGAUUAUUGGAGCCCAAAUUGACAGUCAAUCCCGGUGAGGGUUGCCGGUCUGGCACUGAUAUUGGGGCAAGAGACAUGAUGACAAGAGACGAGUAUUAUUAAGGGCAAGGAGGAUGAAGUCACCGCGGCAGUGACAACCGGUUUCAGGUCGGAGAAAGAAAGACCAGCAAGCAGGUGGGGAUCCUGUGAACCAACAGCCGGCCAACAAUCCUGAAAGCACGCGACAAGAACGGGCCCAGUAGCUGUGCUUCUUGUGUCUUCUUCCCUUUCUUAUUUGACAAUGACAAGAGGAUGGUGGGUCGUCGCGAUGUGUCUUUCUCCUCCUCGAAACCCUGGAAGCCUCCGUUGUCGUCGGCAAGUUGGUUGGGGUUGGGCGAUGAUCAGGGACAACUACGAGGAAACACGCAAACGACGGCACGGCGGACGAUGACGAGGUGGAUCCCUCCCAGUAAUGGCAAACUAAUCUUUAACCGUUCUUUGGGCAGUCAGCUAACUUGCCAGUCAGUGGCCGUCACAAAGCCAGGUCGAUUGGUGAUGUUAGGAGAAGCCUUCAACCCGCCAGGGCGAAUCAACGUCGCUUCUCGAACGUGAUACAAUCGGGGUGGUGACCAAACAGCGCCUGAGGCUGGGUAUUUAGGUAGGGUGGGGAAAACGAUGACGGACAAAGCUGUCAAGACCAACUGAAAGAAAGACACAGACAACGAGGUGGAUCAAACGAUUGAAUGGAUAGGCAUGCUUACCGGUGAGACUGAAUGCCUCUGAUUGAUUUAAUGAGUGUACUCCGUACCGUCGGAGAAAACAAGGGGGGAACAACGGAUCAAUGUGUUAGUGACGGGACACGAGGAUCCAUGGAUGGGGAAAAUGAAGGAGUAAACGCGGAACGGAUAAAGGGGCCGCUUUAGUUCACUUCAUCAAGGUGCAGGCUAAAACAUGGCCCGCCCGCAGUCAUCGAUAAGCAAUAAGAACCUCCAGCUACAAUCUUCUGCCACCGCUGAACAGAGGGGAAUUUUGACAACAAUCAAUGCACGUAAUCUGUCAGCAACAUCGAGGUUCGUCCACGAUAGACCAAUUGAUCACGCUGCUGCAAACAGACGGCCACUGUCGACGUUAACGCACUGUUUAUGUGGAUUUUUACCUCUGCUUUGUUACAUCAGAGCGCAAGAAGAUCCAUUUAAAUACUCUACGAUGUAAUUAAUAUGCUUCCGACCUACAUAGUAGGUAAUCUGCAAAAGAAAACAGGAAACUUGUUAGACCAACCCAAGCCCCAUGAUUUUCCAUGAUCCUCAGUGCAGUGCAUCGAGAACUCUGCUCUACAACAGAAUUGUAUGUUCCAAUCCUGUUUAAGGGCAGUUAAGCCUCUUCAUUGACCUCAUAUGGCUCAAACCCUUUGCCUCGCCUGUUCAUCCCUUGCCUUUUCAAUGCCCCCUACGCCCUCAUGCUCAUAUCUCCCCUGCCAAGGUCCAGAUAUAAACUGCUGUGCUCGUAGGAUCCAGAGAGAUGGAUAUGCAAGGGGGAAAGAAGGGAAAGAUCUGCGGAUUUGUUGCGUUAAUUGCCUGCGAACGGAAAACCACCAUGUUUGCAAUGCGAUUGUUCAACCACCCGGACGACUAGCAACGAUCCAUUUUGGAACUUGAUGAGGGAGAAAUGUAUUCUAUCCAUCAUAAUGCACUCAGAAAAACACGUAUGUCGAAUCCGACCUGCAUUGACUACGGUUGCAAAGCAAGCUUACUACGUGGGGAAUCUAAACCUGCAAGCGAGAAGAGAAAAAAAACCCUGUCAAUCAUCAACCAGCAUAAUGGGUGGGAUUGUCGACCAUUGACCAAAUACAUUUUCCAGGGUUUCACAGCUGGACGGCACGUUGAGCCUGAGUAUUUAUCAUCGGAUUUUUUCAAAACGCUGCUUUUCACCCUUAACUCUGAUUUGAUGACUUAUACGGAGUAUACUCUGGGAGGACUGGUGCAACCGGGCUGCUGCUUCGCAUCCAAAUGAUCCAGAGUAAUGAAUGGCUCGGGAUGUAAGCGACGGAUAUUUGCAAUGAAAAUGGUGGAAGGCCCGGGGCUGACAAUUGGACAACUGAAUUUAAAAGGUGUAGGGCAUUUGAUUAUCAGGAAGUGCUUCAUCUGUUGUUAUAUUGUUAGUUAAUUAGUUAACUAUUCCUUCAUUCCUGACUUGACUAUGUCCAAUAACUAAAUAUCCUCUUCAACCUUCGG